rnacentral:rRNA from 1 species
CUGAUAAGAGUUUUACUCCUUAAAAGCUUAUUCAUUCUCGCAGCAUUGCUGCAAUCGGGUUUCCCCAAUUGGGCAAUAAUCCCCACUGCUGCCUCCCGUAAG